rnacentral:rRNA from 1 species
UACGGAGGGUGCGAGCGUUAAUCGGAAUUACUGGGCGUAAAGCGCGCGUAGGCGGUCUGAUCAGCCGGUUGUGAAAGCCCCGGGCUCAACCUGGGAACGGCAUCCGGAACUGUCGGGCUAGAGUGCAGGAGAGGAAGGUAGAAUUCCCGGUGUAGCGGCGAAAUGCGUAGAGAUCGGGAGGAAUACCAGUGGCGAAGGCGGGUGACUGGACUGCAACUGACGCUGAGGCGCGAAAGUGUGGGGAGCAAACAGGAUUAGAUACCCCUGUA